GACGAACGCUGGCGGCGUGCCUAAUACAUGCAAGUAGAACGCACAGUUUAUACCGUAGCUUGCUACACCAUAGACUGUGAGUUGCGAACGGGUGAGUAACGCGUAGGUAACCUGCCUGGUAGCGGGGGAUAACUAUUGGAAACGAUAGCUAAUACCGCAUAAUAUUGAUUAUUGCAUGAUAAUUAAUUGAAAGGUGCAAUUGCACCACUACCAGAUGGACCUGCGUUGUAUUAGCUAGUAGGUGAGGUAACGGCUCACCUAGGCGACGAUACAUAGCCGACCUGAGAGGGUGAUCGGCCACCCUGGGACUGGGACACGGCCCAGACUCCUACGGGAGGCAGCAGUAGGGAAUCUUCGGCCAUGGACGCAAGUCUGACCGCGCAACGCCGCGUGAGUGAAGAAGGUUUUCGGAUCGUAAAGCUCUGUUGUAAGAGAAGAACGGGUGUGAGAGUGGAAAGUUCACACUGUGACGGUAUCUUACCAGAAAGGGACGGCUAACUACGUG
rnacentral:rRNA from 1 species